AUAAGUAGGGUGCGAGCGUUGUCCGGAAUUACUGGGCGUAAAGAGCUCGUAGGUGGUUUGUCGCGUCGUCUGUGAAAUUCCGGGGCUUAACUCCGGGCGUGCAGGCGAUACGGGCAUAACUUGAGUACUGUAGGGGAGACUGGAAUUCCUGGUGUAGCGGUGAAAUGCGCAGAUAUCAGGAGGAACACCGGUGGCGAAGGCGGGUCGCUGGGCAGUAACUGACGCUGAGGGGCGAAAGCAUGGGUAGCUAACAGGAUUAGAUACCCUGGUAUUCCAUGCCGUAAACGGUGGGCGCUAGGUGUAGGGGUCUUCCACGACUUCUGUGCCGUAGCUAACUCAUUAAGCGCCCCGCCUGGGGAGUACGGCCGCAAGGCUAAAACUCAAAGGAAUUGACGGGG
rnacentral:rRNA from 1 species